UUUUUUUUUUUCUUUUUUCCUCCUCUCCAAACAUAUGGCAGCGAGAGAACUGAAAAUGGUCAGUGCCAGGAGCAGAUCGUUGCUUUUUUGGGUGUCAGUGUGCAACUUCCUCGCGCUGCUCCCGCUCGCCGGCAGCACCCGGUAAUGCGGCUGGGGGGGCUGAGGGGGCCGAGCGGGGCGGAGGGCAGCUUACGGCAGGGGCAGGGGGCGGCAGGUUUAAGGCCGUUCCGGCUACUCCCCCCCUCCCCCCCGGAGGCACCAUAUGGCGUAGUUUCACGUCGGCGGCUUUAUUUCUCCGUCAGUUCGCCCCGUGGAGGGGGGAGGGAAGGGGGAGCUCCGGGAAGGGCAGGCCCCGGCCGUUCGGCAUUACCGGGGAUUACAGGGCCGAGAAGGGGAACACUCGCGUUAUAUAACGGGCGUGCUACGCGUCAGCGGCCGGGAGCUGCGGAGAGGACGGGCCAUUCAGUGCCGCUCGUGGGUCGGAGCGGAGCUGCGCGACGCGGGGAGGAGACAGCGGGCAGAAGUUACCCCCCUUCCCCCCCCGCCUCGGGACCGCCUCGUGGCGCUCCGCCGAGGGCUCCACCGCCUUCCGUUGGGGCGCGGUGCGGCCAUCACGCGGCCGCCGGGGUAGCACCAAGCGGGCGGCACCGCGGCGGCCCCGCCACCGCUCCCUGCCCACGGCGAGGCUCCGCCGCUGGCCCCCGGGAAACAAAAGCGGUCUCGGCGUGCUUUGUUUCGGGGUGGCGGCGGAGAAGCCUGGAAGGAAAGCUAAGCCCUGCCCUUCGCCGAGCGACCACUCCGCGCGGGUCCCCGGCGUGUCACCCCGUGACAGUCCCCGCCGGCCGCGGCCGAACAAAGCCUCCGUACCCCGGCCCCGCCGAGCCGAGGCCCACGUCCCACAACACCGGAACCUCAGCCGGCUCCGUGCCGGUGGCGGGCGGAGGGCAGCCGCAGCCGCGCGGGGCCGCCGGACCCGGCCGAGUAGCGCCUCGGGCGCCCUGCGGGCGCUCCCGGUAGCGCUUUCCAUCUCGAGAUGAGAACCCACAGCAGUCGGAGGCGCAGGGCAGCAGCACGCCGUCGGUCUCCGCACGCGAACGGUCUCGGGGAAAGCCGCACGCGCCGCGCCGCGUCCCGCACCUGGGGCUGUCCCCACAGCUGCGUCGGUGCCUAGACUGUGGCCGCGUUCCGCUCGGGAGACCCCGGAGGCUGCUGCGGGGUUCCGCUGCGCCUUUUGUUCCGUAUCCCGCCGAUAUAACCCGCGCUGCAGGCUCCCAAAAGAACCAGGAACGCCGCUACUAACGCAAAUACCUUGAGAUGUCUCACUCAAAAGUCAGAGCCUGACAGCUGUGAAGUGCACCUGAAGACUAACCCUGAUGGGAGGAGUGUGCUGAAUGGUCUUUUCUGAAACAUACAAAUGGGACUUUCCUUGUUCAGUACUCCACUAUUUUUGGACAAGUGAUCUUUUAACCUACUUAAGGAGAAGUGUUACUGUGAGAUGCUAAAUAACUGUUUGUGCCAUGCUUGCUCUGCAAGAGUAUUGGGAUGGGCCAAGAGGAGGCCAAGGUGAGGGGAGAGGUUUGCAUCUACAGGGCAGUGCCAGCUAAGCAGGUCCAAAGCCAAGCCCCUGGGUGGCCAUGCUGUGGAACUCCUCCAGGCACUCCUGGAAUCAGCACGGAUGGGGAAUUACAGCGGGCAGAGGCUGCCCCACUGCACAUCUUGUACACCAAAGGGAGCAGCAACUGAGCAGUGCAAGGGCUUGUCGCAGAUUCACUCAGGGAUUCAUGAAUUUCUUGGUGAUCCAAAAACAGAUGGAAGGAAAUCAUGUAAUGCUUGCUACUUGCAUGUAUUUGACCGGAAAUUUAGUAAAAUCAAUGGCAUUGUCUGAAAAACACUUUGAGUGUAUGUUUACUGGUAGGUAAAACUCAAAGUAAAGCUCCUGGGGAGUGAAAUUGCAUGAACUACAAGAUAAAUACACAAGGGGCUGAGACAGGGGGUUGUCCUAAUUCUGCCCAGAAUACUAAGACUUAGCAUGUGAGAAUGAG
rnacentral:lncRNA from 1 species